ensembl:lncRNA
CUUACCACCUCCCAGCUGUGUCAGACUAGGUAGGGCUUGUGUGAUCAUUUGGAUCAGGAGUUGAUCUGGCUAAAACCUAAUUCUGCAAAUGAGUAAGUGAGAAAGAUUUAUAUUUAACUCAGUUCACUUAUCUAAUCAAGUUCUCUGCAAAGCCCUACAAACUGUUGUACUGGCAAAAUGAGGGAAUGAUGGAGGAAUGGAAAUGAGUAACCUGAGAUGAGGGCAAGGACUACAUUGGGAGUGAAAUUCUGCUACAGAAAUGGGUAAUGUAAAGGUUUUUCAGCAUCACUGAUUGGUGAGAAAGAGCUGUUAUCCCCAUACUAUGAUGGGAAAAUUGAGCAUGUCUACAUUGCAGAACACCAGACACAAAUGAGCACCUCUGCCAGCAGAAGCCAUCUCACACAGGUCUUAUUCUCCUCCUGCCAUAUCCACACUUGUGCUGUGCAGGCACACUGAUAGCACUGUCAAAAAGUUAAUUCCUGUUAAAAUUAACUGCUUUACUGGCAAGUUAGUGUUAAUUUGAUGACUUUUCUGCUUUGGUUCAGUCUGCUGUUGCACAAACUCUUAUGUAAGCAAAAGGGAAAGAUGACUUGGGGGCAAUAGGGGGAAGGAACAGAUCUGGUGGAACACAGGCUGCUUUGGUCAUCAGAGGAGCCUGCUGUCAGCUCAUCGUGUUUACAGAACUAAAGCAUAAGCUUACCCUUAAAAGCAAUUCUAUAUCUGACUUUCUCUGAAAUCAAUGCUCUGAAUAUAUCUGAUAUGUCAGAUGUUUCUAAUAGUACAUAUAAUAACAUAAAUAUGCUUCCUAAGAAUACAUACAAAAAGCCAUUUCAAUCCCAGAGGACAAGGAAGCCUUUUAGGAGUAGGAAAAAUCUCAUAGAUUUAACCAAUAUAACAAUGCUAAUAAAUGAAAUAAAGAAAUGUGCAGCUUGUCCUGAGAAUGGUACUGUCAAAAAAACCUCUUCCACAAUCUUUUCUGCACUGGUGGGAGGAGGGACUGUUUUGUAGGGUGAUUCCUUUUAAUCAUAGACAUGCCUUAAGGGCACAAGAUGCUGGCAACGUGGCCAAUCCAAAAGAGAUCGUGGAUUAAUGCUUGUGAAAAGCAGUCCUAGCUAUUCCUUUGUGCAUUGUCCAAACAGCAAAUGAUAACACUGCCUUAAGUCACCCAGUGUUACACCUUCCUAUCCAUAGUGUGAUUUCCCAAAAAGUUGGACAGAAAUCAGUUUCGUUUCUCUGUCUGCAUUCUCUCUUCUGUGUAACUUCAUCUGUUCAGGUUUUCUCUGUAGUACAGCACACACUGCUGAUGCUGAGGGUCCUGCAUGACAGGAGCAGAAUGACAGAACCUUUCACUGAGAAAUGCAGAAAAGCUAUCUUGUCUAAGUGCUGCAUGUCAAGCCAGUGAUGAGGCAUGCACUCUAAAUGCAUUUAUUCCUGAAUUGUUGCAUUAGGUCCUUCAGUUCACUAGCUUCAUGGUAACGUUUUCCAUUUUUCUAUGAAAAGAAAUAAUAAAAAAAAAAGGAUGGAAAAUGAAGAACAUCUUGAAUUCAGGACUUACGUGUCAUAGUGCUGGAGUGAGAAUGAGUAGAAAGGAACAGAGUGCGAAGAGAAGAAUAAGAUAAAAAUGGAAAGCAGAAAUCCUGAGCUGGCCCCACUGAACAACGUGUUCAAACAGCUCUCACACCAACCUCAACUGAGAGAGUGGAUUUUAAAUAAAUAAAUAAAUAAAUAAAACAUUCUUUUUUAUGCUUUACUAUUUGCCACACUUGAGCGCACCUCUAAAAAAAGAUAAGUAAAAUAUUAAAAAGAUGUUUUAAAAGAAUAUAUAAAACCAGUGGAAGAAAGACAGGUAACCUUUGAUAAAAGGAACUUGUGAGAAGACACAUGGGAAUGUAAGAAAAAGUUGAACACAGAUGCUACAGUGGUAAAAAGAUGGAGUAGGAAGCUCAGUAAGCAACUGGGAGAGAACAGAGCCACAAAAUACACCAGCAAGAAUUAGCUUACUGGUUCUGAUGCCAAGGUGAAGAGGACAAAACCAAAAGAAAGACGUCUAAACAAUGUAAGAAGACAGUUUUUAUGUAAUAGAUAUUUGGCUGUAUAUUCUUCGAUCAAACAUGUUUGAUUAAAGUUAAUUUUACUAGAGGCUACCUGUUUUGAAUUCUGUUUUCCACAGAAGGUAUUUUUUCUCAGAAAAUGACCUAUUUUGGAAACCAACCCUCAGAACACAGGAGUCUGCCUUUGUGGAAGUGUUCGUUGUCUUGUGGAGAAGAGGGAAAGUUGAGUGAGAAGCAACACACCUCUGUCUCCCCAGGCUAUUCUUGGCUCAUUCACUUCCCUGAGCAUUAAAUUCAUUCACAAAUUGGGAACUUAUCCCGCUGUUACUUUCUAGCACAUUUGAUAAAGUGAUGAAUCCUGAAUUAGUAUUGCAGUGUUGCUAAGUUUUGAUAAAUGUGCUUAUAAAUUCAUUGCUGCAGAAGAAAAGUCUCUUCUUUAAUCAGAAAUCCUGCUGCUGUCAAUGACAGAAAUAUAGCUUGAAACGAAACAUUCUGAAGAAAGCACCUUGUUAAGAUGUAAUUUUCUUCGUACAUGGCUUUAACAACAACCCAGCCCUAUUUGCAGAGCUAUGGCAUUAGGCUUUACACACCAAAAAUGCUUAGGCUUUUAGUAAACCUAGCAAAUAUUUUGCGGUGCGGCUGACACAUUAACAUGUGUAUUAGUGAGCAGUUGUCCAUAAGGAAUUUGUCAGACUGUCAACAAAGACUAAGACAGCCAGUCCAGUCCCUGCUAAGUGUAAAAACACCUGGAGAUCACAGCAAUCACUCAGAAGGGAAUUAAAGUAAUAGAUUAAUUGACCGUAAGAAUCAUUUUCCUUGUUCAUGAAUCUGGAUUUCCCUUGGCUGCCAGAAUUGUAGAUGAAAGAGAAAAACAUCCUUGACCUUUUCCGUCAAAGAAAAUGCUUCUCUCUUUGUCUAACACACAAAAAUGUGGACUAUUUGAGUGAUUUAAAAGGUCUGAGAAUUGCAAACAAACAAACAAAAAAAAAAGAGUGUCAAUAAAAUAGUAUUCAGCUUCUCAUUUAUUCUGCUGUGUCUUGACCCAUUAAGAGGUGUUAGUGAACAUUUCAAAAGUUGUCAGCUUGUACCCUUCUAGUCUACCACACUUCCUG